GAGUCCCCACUGCGCUCUGGAGGCUUCGGGUUCCUUUUGCUAAAGCUGGGAGAGCAAAACUCUCCUGGCUUUAGCGAAAGGAACCUGAAGCCUGUGGAGUGCAGCGGGAACUC